UGAGACUCUAUGCAUGCGGUACCGACUAUUUGUGAACAUAUAGUUCAACCUCACCGUCCAAAUCCAGGCACGGCUACCAAGCUCACUAGUCCCACUCAUUUGAGACCUAGUGACUCACUCACUAAUUCCUCACCAUGGGAAUUAGCUACCACCCCAAAUGGGCCAUGAAAUGCACGCUAAUCACCUAGCAUGCAAACAAUCAACAACAGUCCAAUAAUGACUAACUCACUAAUUCCUCACCAUGGGAAUUAGCUACCACCCUAAAUGGGCCACAAUGUGCAAGCUAAACACCUAGCAAAUGCAACAUCAACAACAAUUCAAGAAUAGACACAUGCUCACACUCUAAGCCACAAAGCAGUCUAUUCACAAUGCAUACAUAACUGAUACAUUCACAGCAUCAUGCAUAGCAUCACACAUCAUUAACACAUUUUAUCACAACAGCAUAUCAUAUCAUGCCACAUAAUCAAACACAGUAUUAGCACACUCUACUAAUACCUAUACUACUCAAGACCCAACAAAACAACAACAACAUUACAACGAUAUCACAUCUGGGAGUUUAAAACGUGAAAUCUGUCUGUCGAACUGAUAUGGCGAACGCCAUUAGGCUAAUGGCGAACGCCAUUAGCGUUA
rnacentral:lncRNA from 1 species